rnacentral:rRNA from 1 species
CGGGUGAGUAACACGUAUGCAAUCCACCUGUAACAGGGGGAGUAACCCGGAGAAAUCCGGACUAAUACCCCAUAAUAUGGGCGCUCCGCAUGGAGAGUCCAUUAAAGAGAGCAAUCUUGGUUACAGACGAGCAUGCGCUCCAUUAGCCAGUUGGCGGGGUAACGGCCCACCAAGGCGACGAUGGAUAGAGGUUCUGAGAGGAAGGUCCCCCACAUUGGAACUGAGACACGGUCCAA